rnacentral:lncRNA from 1 species
CCUAACAGGGCAACAUGACAGGGAAAAGAUAACUUCUGGAAAAGGAUAUACAGUUCUACAACGUAAGAAAAGAUGCAGGGUCCAAGGGAGUAACAGUACUUGGAAAAUCUGUUCUUGGUCCAGCAAGUGAGUAGUAUGCAAGUAUAUGUGCUGGAUGCUCGAUGGACACAGGUUCCCUAUCCGGAGCAUUAAUAGUAACUCCUCUUGAAGGAAUUAACUCGAUAUUCCAGAAUGGGCGAGCCAUGACUAAUAGAUCACGGCCUGUUUCAGAUGCUCUAUACCCUUGCACCC